CUACAGUGGCAGCGCAGGGUAGCUACGUUUCUAUUUGAUAAGCGCUGAAAGCAUCUAAGCACGAAGCAGACCCCAAGAUGAGGUAUCUUUAAGAUCCCUGGAAGACUACCAGGUUGAUUACGCUAACGCGUAGUCGUUCCGACUAACCUCGGAAGAUAGGAGAGCAGUGUAAGCACUGUAAGGUGUUUAGCUUACUCUUACUAAUGAUCAUAGUUGAGAUUUU
rnacentral:rRNA from 1 species